rnacentral:lncRNA from 1 species
AUGUUACAGCGGAAACUUGAGGCCAUUAAUCCUCAGGGUAGGACCGAGGGACAGGAGCGGUAGAUCUAUCUGGGUGUAGCGAGCCCAGCCCCAGGCCCAGCAUAACGGACCUCGGGGUGACUUUGUGCCCAACGCAUAAAUCCGCUAGGUUUGAGUCUUCCUACUUGCACUUCACACAUAUCAAUGGCCUUGCAAACCAUUGGUUGCAUUUUAAGACAAGGCACGGUU